rnacentral:lncRNA from 1 species
CACCGUUAAAUUCACAAACGCAUCACAUCUACUAUUAAAAUUGUCAAUUUUGAGACCUUUUGAUCACUAGUCAAAUGAUGCUGAAAAAUACUUAACUCUAGUUAAGUAUAUCUCUGUCUUCAAAUAUAUCUCUGUCUUUAGGAUCGGUUAGAAAAAAUUAGUUAACCAUAGAUAAAAUACUUAACUCUAGUUAGUUAAUGAGAUGAAUUGACCAAUUUAUCCCUCUUUAAUUAAUAGUUGGAGUUUUUGAAGAGACAUAUUUGUGAUGGCAAAAAGAUUAUUUCACUUAUAAAACAAACAGAGGGAUAUAUUUGAAAACAUUAAGACUUUUACGGAAACAACAUAUGAAAGUUGAAUUUUGUAGAAAUAUAUAUGUAAUUCACUAUGUUUGCAGGAAUCAAUAUGAAAUUAAUUUUUUUUAGAGAAAAAUAACAUGCUAUCCGUGUCGUUUAUUUUUUUAAAAAAAAAUAAAAUAUCAACUAUUAAAUUUUUUGUCAUUUGUGCCGAUCGUUUCCUAGAUAUUUUUAUUAAGCUUUAAUAAAGACUUUUCCACAUGUUCGUACCGCCUCUUGGUGAGGAAAAAUUCUAGAAUGCAACGGGUAUAUUAGUGACGUGGCGUAACAAACCAAUCAAAUUAAUCCUUUUAAGAAUAUAUGUCCCAUCAUGAUUGUAAAAAAGUAUUUUUAUUGUACUUUUGUUUAAAAAGAAGGAAUGUAAUUGACUUGUUAUUGAUGACGUGGUGCAAGUGUGACAGUGUAGAAUUCCUCCUUGGUGAGCAGCGU